UAAGGCGGCCAUAGCGGCUGGGCACCACCUCUUCCCAUCCCGAACAGAGAAGUUAAGCCCGCUUGCGCCGAUGGUACUGCGAUACAAUGUGGGAGAGUAGGUAAUCGCCAAUU
rnacentral:rRNA from 1 species